rnacentral:rRNA from 1 species
GCGGGGGCACUGGGGGACUCCUACGGGAGGCAGCAGUAGGGAAUCUUCCACAAUGGACGCAAGUCUGAUGGAGCAACGCCGCGUGAGUGAAGAAGGCUUUCGGGUCGUAAAACUCUGUUGUUAGAGAAGAACGUCGGCAGAGUAACUGUUCAUGCAGUGACGGACCAACCAGAAACGCCCGACCAUGC